UGGUGCCUGGGUUGUCUACAAGUGAUACUUUGAAGUCAGCCACAAAUACACUGCUGACGUCAGUGGACGGAAGGUUCAAAGGCGCUUGUGUCAAACGGGUGUCACCGGGUGGAAAGAGCCUCAAGAUGAGCACAGGUCGUCAGAUUAGAGCUACAGGGUCGAAAGGGGUCUGAUCAGGACGAAGCAAAAAUGAGACUUUGACAAGAUAGAUAUUUUUUUUUCCUUUAAUUUCGCACUAUGGAGUAAAGAGUGAUGAGGAAGCAAGUAAUCAGUGUUACAGGAGAUAACCCACCCAUGUAUGCCCCGAGAGGAGACACGAACCCAGACAUUUCAAUCAUUACUGAAAAGCAAAUGGUGUACCCAAUGUGCUGCUGGACAUCCCUCAUCUGCCAUCCACCCUUCUCCAGUUAAAUAAUGAUUUUUUUUUUAAUCCUGCGUGAGGUGUCAUCUCGUGAGUCCUGAUGGUUUUGGAGGAUGUAGAUAGCGGGGCAUUGCUCCCACCUGUCUGACCUACAGCAGUCGAUGGGAAAGCCAUUGCAUCAUCCUCUCCCAGCACAGGCCCUCCCUCCCACCUGCUGAUGGAGCCCUUCACGCGCUGAGUGUCGUUUAACCUUCGACCCUCCUCCCUCCCACCAGCCCUUCCUCCGCUCUCCUCGCGGGCAAAGAGACAUCCUCCGUGCACGGCCUACCUUUGAACCCCUCCUUCCAUCUUCCCUCCUCCUCCCACUCCUCCUGUCGCACUUCCGGUGACGCAGCUGCUAUCUGCAGCAGAUCGAUCACAGGCUGCGCGCGUCACAUAAAUAUAGUCCACCCCACUUCCACACCCCACCCCACACACACACCAACAUCUACCCACUUUUUCUCUCUGCGCAGUGCUUGUCAAAGAUAACCCUAUGGACGACGACUGCCUACCCCGUCUACCCCACCUUGCCACCCAGGCCGACCUUUCUCUCCUUCGUCCAUCUUUAAUUAACAUCGGGGGACGGUUCGUCCUGGGGGUAGGGUGAGCCGGGUGGGGGACGGAGGUGAGAUGCAGCGCACGUUUCAACGAGUCUCUCACUUAGGAUGUGACAUGCGUGGCAAGUGGCCAUAGGACUGAGCACACGACAUGCAGCAGACAGAGAGAAAAAGGGAGGAGCAAGCCGCCCCACCCCGGUCCCACCCUACCCUACCCCAGCAGAUCACCCAGCGAUCCUAUCAGCCAAUGCCAAGAUCAAUAGAAGCAACGGGUCCACCAUGGCUCAAUCUCCCAGCUCAGGAAUUUCUCACAGUAAGGCGUGAAUAGCACACAUCCCAGGUCUCCAUGGCCACGACGGGAUGUGGGAGGCGGUGGGGGGAGGUGGAGGAGCGACCCUCACCGGGAGGUCAGACGCGGCUCUAAAGAAAACUUUCCAUUGACCUUCAACCCCCAGGCUAGACAAGCCAGAGCAACCCCCCGGCGUCUGUGGUCGGUCCCAGGUUCACACAGGUACGUCGACCUCCUCCGACUGCAAACAGUGGCGGACCCUCGUCAAAGAUUUCACCGUCUCGGUCACGCAGACAAGAGUGCAGACGCUGGGGAGGGAGGACAAGAGUUCGAGCCUUUGCGUGGGGCUGGAUGGUGUGAAGGUGUCAGUGGGACAGGAGAGGCUGAGAGGACGCAUGUACUUUUCGUGUGAACAGGUAGCUGGGUCCCCACUUCACGACUGAACGGGUAGCGAGGUCAGAAGUCACGCCAACGUUGGCACUGAUCUGAGCGCAAAAGUGCACACUACCUCGAGAUGAACGAAGGAGGGUGAUGGAGGAUGAGAUGAACGAGAACAUCGUGAGGGAGAUGUGUCCCAGCGGGAGGGCCACCAGCCGCACCUGCAGUCACAGUCAAGCGCCUGCCUGUCCACGCUCGUGUGGCGUGCAUGGCACGUGACCUGGCGAGGGCAAAGUCCUGGAUUUCAUCAUCCUACCCGUUUCCUGACCGCCACGCUUCGAUGACCUCGUGGUCGCGAAACGCGACAUGGCCGGAAGUAGCCGAACAACGCGAGAUGCUGACGUCACAACGAUUGCCUUGGGUCAAAACAAAGGAAAUCAUCAAUCAAACCAUUUUUAUUUAAAAAAAAAAAUUCAAAAGGAUGUGCCUUCAUUCUAUGAAUAAACCUAUUC